rnacentral:rRNA from 1 species
AUGAACGCUGGCGGCGUGCCUCAUACAUGCAAGUUGCGCGAACGGACGAGAAGCUUGCUUCUCUGAUGUUAGCGGCGGACGGGUGAGUAACACGUGGAUAACCUACCUAUAAGACUGGGAUAACUUCGGGAAACCGGAGCUAAUACCGGAUGAUAUUUUGAACCGCAUGGUUCAAAAGUGAAAGACGGUCUUGCUGUCACUUAUAGAUGGAUCCGCGCUGCAUUAGCUAGUUGGUAAGGUAACGGCUUACCAAGGCAACGAUGCAUAGCCGACCUGAGAGGGUGAUCGGCCACACUGGAACUGAGACACGGUCCAGACUCCUACGGGAGGCAGCAGUAGGGAAUCUUCCGCAAUGGGCGAAAGCCUGACGGAGCAACGCCGCGUGAGUGAUGAAGGUCUUCGGAUCGUAAAACUCUGUUAUUAGGGAAGAACAUAUGUGUAAGUAACUGUGCACAUCUUGACGGUACCUAAUCAGAAAGCCACGGCUAACUACGUG